CCCCUGGUACUUGGAGUCCAUAUCACUGGUUUGGCACUUAGCACUAUAGCUGUUAAAGCUACAACUUUUGAAAUAGAAGAUUUCAACCAAAAUGUCCCAGUAGUACUAAAAUACCUCGAGUCAAAUCAUGAACAUUGAUGCCCAAAUGUAGCAUAAGAAGUUAAUUCUAAGGCUAAAAAUGCCUGAAAGGGAGAGGGAAUUGAAUGGGCAGCCAGGGGUAGAGAUAAAGGUAGGAAGAAUAACAAAGUGAGAGCCUUCAUAAAAGUACAGAGUUGAUUCUGGUACUUUCCUCUGCAUCCCUUAAUAUAUCACUCAGGAACAGUAAGACUCAGUAAAAAGCAGGAAGAGAAAUGAGACAGCCCUUGCAGUUUUCAGAAACUACAAUUUUUUUUUUUUUUUUUUUUAAGUUUAAAAGGUAGUUGAUAUUACCUAUGCAAGACUCUGGCUUGGGAAGAGUUAAAGUGUGGGGGUGCGGGUGGUGGGGGGUUGCCAGCAAGUGAUUAUUCAAUUGAACCACUAAACUUGUUUUUCAAAAAUGCUUUUAAAUGAACACAUUUAAUUAAAAGGAAAAAAAUAAAUAAAGAGGUUGUAACUCAUGAGAAGCAUUGUGCUAACUUGAGUUUGGUUUCUUUGAGCUGUCUGAACUGAGUGAUAGAUGUAAGAGUUACCCACUGAGUUAUAGUCACCCUGAUUACUUUAUUGUUAGAAAUCUCUACACACUCCACAUUUCAACAGUGAGGCAGAUCCAGGGGAAACACAGGAAGGGUCACCUGAGCGAGGAGACUGCUGGUCUCCUACUACAUCUUUGCUUCUUUUGUGUUACAGACUUUGUGUCUCUUAAUAAAUCCUGAUUCUUUCACCAGUGCCAGACCAGUGAGACAUCUUUUUUGGUCCCAGGUGAUCAUAUGUCAGUAGUUAGACGAUAGCUUUCUGUAGCAUCAUUAUUGUCAUAAACACACACACACACACACACACACACACGCAGAGGCAGUACUGCAUUGAUUACAUGGUGCACAUCAUUUCGCGUUUUAACAUUUCUGAAAUUGGCGGGGGGUGUCUUAUAAAGGAUGAUAUAUUAGAACUGGUACAAUAUGAAGGCAGGGAGCAAGACUGAGAUUCUCACAAUGACCGACUAAAAGGAAUAUUGCUGAUCCAAUCCAAUCCCCUUCUUUUAUAAGUAAAACACACACACACACACACACACACACACACACACACGGUGAGAAGCCAAAAUCAAUCCUGGAAUCCAAACCUCCUGAUACAGUUAUUGUUCUGUGUUCUAAAAUCUCACCAGAGAUACUAGAGAACUGACUUGGUGUUACAUGUAAACAAUAGGAAAUCAAAAAAGUUUUGGGAUGAGGAAGACAUGAAGAAAGCAAUUCAGUAUCCCAUACACAUAAAAGAUCAGAGACAGAGUCACUUUUGCUCAUCAUGACAAUUCUGAGUGCCCAACACAGUGCCUUGCAGAUAACAGGCAUUUUACAAAUUAAUUUACAGAUGAAUGUCCUGAGAUGAAAAUCUGGCAGACAUCUAAGCUCUUCACCCACCAAAUGUAUUAGAAUUUCUGGGCCUGGGACCCAACAUCUUGACUUUUGACAAGCAUUCCGUGGCGAUUCUCCUGGCCAUCAACGUUUGAGAACCCAAAUGUAUGAGACAAUAACGACCUGCAGUGGAGGCAAAGGAAGAUUCUGAGCCAUCUGCAGAUAUAAUACACAGAGCUGUUUCUGUGGUGACAGCAGACAUAACCCCAACUGGGGCAUGAUGUCAUCAACUUUAGGGUGAACAGAGAAUUAGCCAAGGCUGAAUUCAGUAACACCUCUACUAUCCAGUCAGUCUCCACAGUUAGCUGGCUUUGAAGAAGCAAGCUCCCAGGAGUCAUGGAGCAGCAAGGAAAUGAAUUCAGACACCAAUCGAGGAAGCCUGGAAGCAAAUUCUUUCCCAGUCGAACCUAGGAGGCUCACCUAGACUGCAGCCUGGUGACAGACCCUGAUGAAGAGGAACCAGCUAAGCUGCCCAGACUCCUGACCCACAGAAGCUGUGAAGUCAUAAACGUGUGCGCCGUUUUAUGUCAGCAAGUUUUUGGUAAUAUACAAGGCAACCACAAAAACUAAUAGAGCAGGUCUAGCUGGGGGACUGAGAGAAACCCACUUGGAACAGCACUACGAGGCAUGUGACACCAACGUUUGCUGCCUGCCCGUUUGGGCUCAGCUUUCAAGUUGCUCUGGUCCCCAUCAGACUACAAUCUCCUUAUAACACAAAGCAUUAUAUUCCAUGGCUCCCAGGACAGUCCUCAAUAAAUACCUGAGUGUUGGC